AACCAUCACGAUGGGAACAAAGCGAACUAUUCUUUCGCCUUUUACUAAAGAAUACUGUGUGCUCGCUGCACAUGAUGGCAUACAUCAAUUUUUGGAGGAGUUUCUCUCCACAGAGAAG